AUUGAACGCUGGCGGCAGGCCUAACACAUGCAAGUCGAGCGGAUGAAGGGAGCUUGCUCCUGGAUUCAGCGGCGGACGGGUGAGUAAUGCCUAGGAAUCUGCCUGGUAGUGGGGGAUAACGUCCGGAAACGGGCGCUAAUACCGCAUACGUCCUGAGGGAGAAAGUGGGGGAUCUUCGGACCUCACGCUAUCAGAUGAGCCUAGGUCGGAUUAGCUAGUUGGUGGGGUAAAGGCCUACCAAGGCGACGAUCCGUAACUGGUCUGAGAGGAUGAUCAGUCACACUGGAACUGAGACACGGUCCAGACCCCUACGGGAGGCAGGAGUGGGGAAUUUUGGACAAUGGGCGAAAGCCUGAUCCAGCCAUGCCGCGUGUGUGAAGAAGGUUUUCGGAUUGUAAAGCCCUUUAAGUUGGGGGGAAGGGCAGUAAGUUAAAACCUUGCUGUUUUGACGUUACCAACAAAAUAAACACCGGCUAACUUCGU
rnacentral:rRNA from 1 species